rfam:Musa acuminata subsp. malaccensis Doubled-haploid Pahang (DH-Pahang) genomic chromosome, chr2
UCUCGGUGAUGAGAAGAUUAAACAUAGAUGACGAGUCCGAUUUAUCCAUUCCAUUCCACAUGAGGACGAAUCGAGGCAUUUGUCUGAGAGAA